rnacentral:rRNA from 1 species
AGUGAACGCUGGCGGCAGGCCUAACACAUGCAAGUCGAACGACAGCAUAGGAAGAUCUCGCUUUUACGGGUGGCGAGUGACGGAUGAGUGACGCAUACAUCGCCUUCUACUAUGUCUUGGAUGACUACGUAGAGCAACGUCUACUGCCACCUCACACGUCGUACGGCAGGAAUCUGGAGAUAUUCAUGCUUUGCCUGUCUCUUAUAGAUGAUCUCGGAUUAGCUAGUUGGCUGGGUAAAGGCCCACCAAGGCGACGAUCCGUAGCUGAUCUGAGAGGAUGAUCAGCCACACUGGAACUGAGACACGGUCCAGACUCCUACGGGAGGCAGCAGUAGGGAAUAUUGGACAAUGGGCGAAAGCCUGAUCGAGCAACGCCGCGUGGGUGAAGAAGGUCUUCGGGUCGUAAAACCCUGUUAUUGGGGAAGAACAACAGCGUGAGUAACUGUGCAUGUUUUGACGGUACCUAAACAAUAAGCAACGGCUAACUACGUG